AGUUAGACAAAGAAAUCAGACAUAGAAGUCAUACUCGAAGCAAGUGGGUCAAGUGAAGAUUUAAAAACAAUAGAAGAAUUCUCUAUAUUAUCAUUUUGCCUCAAAGGAUUGUCAUUUGUAAAGAGGGGGAUACAUUAUCCCGUGAACAUGAUUCCUUCAAAGUGACAGUGGAAAACGUUAUAGUCUGCAGAUCAGCAGAUUUCCCGACUGCUUUAGUUGGACUGUUGAUGGCAAUUUAUGCCUUCAACUUGGCUUAUCCUAAGAAAUUGGAAAAGACUUUGCUCUUCUGUCAAAGAGUUUUCAUCAACUUGGAUGAUGAAGCUCCUCUGGAUCGAAAGAUCCUAAAUGUUACUGCCAUGCUGAACCAAGAGCUAAACUGACUUUAAAAGAAUAAAAGUGGAGAAGAGAAAAUUUAUGAAUAAAAAUAAAUUAGCUCUUA